rnacentral:tRNA from 1 species
GUGGCGGUGUCGGGACGCGGCUCGUGGAGGCGCUUCUCGAGCAGGCGCGACAGGCUGGCGUCGGUACCGUGGUGUUGCUGACCACCACCGCCGCG